rnacentral:miRNA from 1 species
AGGGUGUUGCUCUCAUCUCU